rnacentral:lncRNA from 1 species
GUCUUAAGUUAAAUAUAAUGUAUAAAUAUGUUAAAUAUGAGUAAAUAUCACAUAUAUUCCUUAAGGUAAUAUUUGGGAAAAAAAAUUAAAACUCAUUAAUUUAUUUCAUUAAACAAAAUAGCGUCAUAUUCAGCACAUUCGGGUCUAUUUAGUCCUAUUUAAAAUUAGCCCUAACGAAAUGGGUUUUAAGAGCGGGUGAGGGCUUGCAUGUUUGAGACCCGGCCCGAUUUUACCCGGUCUUAAAUUUUGUUGAUCAAGUCAAAGUCUUGCUCGACUUUACUGAAAAUUAGGGCCGGCCCAUGAUGAGGCCUAGUUUGGGAUGCCUAGUUUGGGAUGCGAUCAGCAGGAAAGCUACGUCAACUUACUUGAACAGAGCUAGCAAGGAUAGGUAUAUCACUACAUCCCAAUCCAUAAUCAAGGAAGGCAGCCGUCGGCCGUGAUGUCCCAGGAGCAGUGCCUGUACCUGACUUCCCAGCUCUGCUUGUACUCUCAAGCACUUCUACUGUUAAGUUCCCAUAAGCCUGCAACCAACCACAUCAUAUUCAUUACUCUUAAACUCAGAAAAAUAGCUCAAGACAUGAUGGAAUCAAAUUCAGAUGGUACUUUGAUUUUAGCGGAGGAGUAAACUACACCGUAGAGAAUGUAAACAGUAUUUUCAAUAACUCAAUGUCCAGCAAGUAACAAAGUUUGUACGUGAAAACUGUGUGAACCGGAUUGACUGUAAUAAUAGAGGAAUAUAUGUUGUAGAGUAACUUGACACACAAUUGGAUAAUAUGUCUUGU